UUGACAGAGUGGUUUAUCUGGUUGACGAGGCUGUCUUCUAGAUUUUAGUGUUGCUGAACUUGCCAAGAGAAUUUACCCGAAACUCCACUUCAAUGGAACAUGGAAUGGAUUGGACUUUACCAACACUACAAAUAUUACCAUUUUUAUUCAAUCUGCUUUGGUCUUGGGUGGGGAGCAGCACUCUAUAGGCCAUUUUGUUCACCGAUGAUUCCAUCAGUUUUCGGCAUGUUCUUCACCAUAGUGUUUGAGAUUAUAGGCAUACUAUCUGACCUGCCAGCCCAUACUAAGAAAUGUAAAGGCCCUCCCUAUUGCAGAGAAGGUAGAUAUACUUAUUUGCUGACUUAGUUCUGAUUUGUACCAGAAAUGUAUUGAUAAAUG